GACAGAGGAUGCAAGCGUUAUCCGGAAUGAUUGGGCGUAAAGCGUCUGUAGGUGGCUUUUUAAGUCCGCCGUCAAAUCCCAGGGCUCAACCCUGGACAGGCGGUGGAAACUACCAAGCUGGAGUACGGUAGGGGCAGAGGGAAUUUCCAGUGGAGCGGUGAAAUGCGUAGAUAUUGGAAAGACCACCGAUGGCGAAGGCAACUCUACUGGGCCAUUACUGACACUGGAGAGACGAAAGCUAGGGGAGCAAAUGGG
rnacentral:rRNA from 1 species